rnacentral:rRNA from 1 species
UACGUAGGGUGCAAGCGUUUGUCCGGAAUUAUUGGGCGUAAAGAGCUCGUAGGCGGUCUGUCGCGUCUGCUGUGAAAACUCGGGGCUUAACCCCGGGCCUGCAGUGGGUACGGGCAGACUAGAGUUCGGUAGGGGAGACUGGAAUUCCUGGUGUAGCGGUGAAAUGCGCAGAUAUCAGGAGGAACACCGAUGGCGAAGGCAGGUCUCUGGGCCGAUACUGACGCUGAGGAGCGAAAGCGUGGGGAGCGAACAGG